AGUGUUUUACGAUCCCUCUCCAUCUUAGUGCAAUUUGACAAACUAUGAGAUAUAUAUUACAUAUGUAUGUAUAUAUAUAUCUGAAGAUGAUUAGACUUGCUGAGAAGAGGGUCAGUUCUUCUUUACUUUGGCGUUCGAACCAUACAGCAACAAUGGCUAGCAGUGAUACAGGUUACUACUUCUUCUCUCCUUUUCUCCUUCCGCUAAAGUUGAUUAAUUUCGUCUGUUUUUUAUGUGAUUAUAAUGGUAUCUUUCUUCAUUAACUAAUGAUGUGGUAAAAGCUAUUUCAUUAUUUGCCCUCAAUUUAAAUACCUAUUUGGUAUUUACUGCUGCCAAUUAUUCUUUAGAAUCAUUGCUACUAUAGGAGUUCUUGAUUUCUACCUUAUGUGAACAAUAAAGGAAAAACUUUUCUGUUCCCGGAGAAGGACUUUGUUUUUCGGUCUUGAUAUCCAUUAUGGCAGUUCUGUGCUAGUAAUAGUAUUUCAUUUCUGUCUCCUAUUAUCCUUAGGCUGCGUUUGUUAGCAAAAGUAAUGGAUGGAAUAAGACUAAUUGUAUUAUUUAACACAAUAAGACUUAGGAUAGAACUAUUAAUGUUUGUUUAACGUGGGACUAUUAGUCCAAAGAUUAUAAAAUGACUUAAGAUUAUGGACUAUUUAAUACCAUGGCUAGCUAGGUAUUAUAAACCCAUUAUAUGUGAUUAAAAAUUUAUGGACAAAACUAACAUUUAUAAAUAAUGAGGUACUGACUUACUAUAUCUUAUUUCGGCAAAAAUGAGGUACUGUAAUCCGGUAAUCCCAUCGUGUCUAUAUAGAAUUUCUUAUAAAUGAGGUACAGUAAUCCCAUCAUGUCUAUAUAGGAACUUUUAUAAAUGAGGUACUAUAAUCCCAUCAGGUCUAUCUUUUGGCAAUUUAAUGCUAAAUUUUGGAAUUAAAAUUUAAAAUGAAAUAAUCUUUGUAAUUUCCUAAAAUAAAAAAUUAAUUAUAAUAUGGCACUCAGUUCUUGUUAAACAUAACUUUUGUGAAAAGUGGGAGGAAAAAUUAAUUAUUCUCAUAACUUUUUUAUGAGAAUAAAUACUUAUUUUGAAACUACAUCUACUUUUACUAUUAAAAAGUUUAUCAUUUAUUUUUCUUAAAAUAAUUUUUUCAUGACGAGCUUCAUCAUAAUUGUCUCUAAUCUAGUAUGUACAUGUGAUAUGUUUAAAUAUUUUUUUUUUAUUUAUAGGCGCCUUUUUGAUGUAUAAACAAUAAAUUAUAAUUUAAAAUGUUAUUAUUGGUAAGGAUAUAAUAGUCUAAAUGAUAUUUUUUAUCCAAUCCCUUAAUUAAUCUUAUAAAAAAACAUAUCAUGAGAUUAUUUUAAGUUAUCCCAUAAAUAAUCCCAUAAAAAAUAAACAUAUGGGUAUGACUAUUUAAUCCUUGCAAAAAAACAUGGCCUAAGGGACUAUUUUAUUCCAGAAUUAGUCCUUAAUUUAAUCCUAAAAUUAGCACUUUAUCUAAUCCCAUAGACUAUUUUUAAAAUUCCUAAGGUCAUUUGAUUUCUCAGAAGGAAUUAUAUAAUACAAUUUUUUCACUAGGGAUUAUAAUCCAUCAUCAAAUGACAAAUCACAAAACAUAGUCCAUAGAUUAAAUAAAUGACUAAUCAUGAAAUAAAAUAAUCCAUAGUGGUAUUAAAUCAGUACAAAUAGUUCUAUCCCAUCCAUCAUUUUUAAAAACAAUCAUAGUUUUAGAGUUUCUAAAAGGCCUUAAUCUGCAGCAACAAUAAAUAAUAAGAAAUUUUUUCAUUUGCUUGUCUGUAUAUAAGGUGGAGGUAGUAAGGUUUAGUUUAUCAAUGUGAUAUGAUAUUGUGAAGCAUUCCUUAGUUCAUUCGUUGUUUCUUUUAUUACAAUUUUUGGUCAACUUAUACUAUGAGUGUUGUGUCUUGUUGCUGUAUUUAUGAUAUUUUCUUAUCUUUAGCUUGUAUCUUUGCAUGUUAUCUUUUUAUUCACUUUAAUUUGUCAUAACAUUUAUGUUAGUGCCUAUAUAUCUUUGGCAUCUGUAAAAACUUGAAGUCAACAUUGUGUGGGCGAGAAGCACCUGCUGAAAAGUCGUUUGCCUCUUUUUGUGAGUAUUAUACAUCUGCUUGUAUCAUGACUAUCUACAAUUUUUUUAUCAGG
rnacentral:lncRNA from 1 species